rnacentral:rRNA from 1 species
CACUGCCGAGAAAAGCCUCUAGAUAGAAAAUAGGUGCCCGUACCGCAAACCGACACAGGUAGUCAAGAUGAGAAUUCUAAGGUGAGCGAGCGAACUCUCGUUAAGGAACUCGGCAAAAUGACCCCGUAACUUCGGGAGAAGGGGUGCUCUUUAGGGUUAACGCCCAGAAGAGCCGCAGUGAAUAGGCCCAAGCGACUGUUUAUCAAAAACACAGGUCUCUGCUAAACCGUAAGGUGAUGUAUAGGGGCUGACGCCUGCCCGGUGCUGGAAGGUUAAGAGGAGUGGUUAGCUUCUGCGAAGCUACGAAUCGAAGCCCCAGUAAACGGCGGCCGUAACUAUAACGGUCCUAAGGUAGCGAAAUUCCUUGUCGGGUAAGUUCCGACCCGCACGAAAGGCGUAACGAUUUGGGCACUGUCUCAACGAGAGACUCGGUGAAAUCAUAGUACCUGUGAAGAUGCAGGUUACCCGCGACAGGACGGAAAGACCCCGUGGAGCUUUACUGUAGCCUGAUAUUGAAAUUCGGCACAGCUUGUACAGGAUAGGUAGGAGCCUUUGAAAC